AAUGAACGCUGGCGGCAUGCCUAAUACAUGCAAGUCGAACGAAACCACGGGGAGCAGGCUCCUAAGGGUUUAGCAGCGGAGGGAACCUGACCACGUGUAUGACAUAACUAUACGAAUGGGGUACAAUUACGGGACAAUGUCUACUGACCAAAGAUUUAUUGCCCUUGAAUGGUCACGCGUUGGAUUAGCUAGUUGGUAGGGUAAAAGCCUACCAAGGCGACGAUCCAUAGCUGGUCUGAGAGGAUGAUCAGCCACACUGGGACUGAGACACGGCCCAGACUCCUACGGGAGGCAGCAGUGGGGAAUAUUGGACAAUGGGCGAAAGCCUGAUCCAGCAAUGCCGCGUGAGUGAUGAAGGCCUUAGGGUUGUAAAGCUCUUUUACCCGGGAUGAUAAUGACAGUACCGGGAGAAUAAGCUCCGGCUAACUCCGUG
rnacentral:rRNA from 1 species